rnacentral:rRNA from 1 species
CCUUGUACACACCGCCCGUCAAGUCAUGAAAGUCGGUAACACCCGAAGCCAGUGGCCCAACCGCAAGGGAGGGAGCUGUCGAAGGUGGGAUCGGUGAUUAGGACU